UCGUAUUUAAUAUUACCUUGUUUUCCAUCUGAUCUCAGAAGCUAAGCAGGGUCAGGCCUGGUUAGUACUUGGAUGAGAGACCACCUAGGAAGAUCAGGUGCUGUAGGUG
rnacentral:rRNA from 1 species